rnacentral:rRNA from 1 species
UACGGAGGGUGCGAGCGUUAAUCGGAAUUACUGGGCGUAAAGCGUACGCAGGCGGUCUGUUAAGCCGGAUGUGAAAGCCCCGGGCUCAACCUGGGAACUGCAUUUCGAACUGGCAAACUAGAGUGUUGUAGAGGGGGGUAGAAUUCCAGGUGUAGCGGUGAAAUGCGUAGAGAUCUGAAGGAAUACCGGUGGCGAAGGCAGCCCCCUGGACCAACACUGACGCUCACGUGCGAAAGCGUGGGGAGCAAACAGG